GAUGAACGCUAGCUACAGGCUUAACACAUGCAAGUCGAGGGGUAACGAGAGGGAAGCUUGCUUUCCUUGUCGACGACCGGCGCACGGGUGAGUAACGCGUAUCCAACCUGCCCCCAACUAGGGAAUAACCUUGCGAAAGUAAGACUAAUACCCUAUAAUUUCCUCAGAUGUCAUCUGACGAGGAAUAAAGAUUUAUCGGUUGUGGAUGGGGAUGCGUCUGAUUAGCUUGUUGGCGGGGUAACGGCACACCAAGGCAACGAUCAGUAGGGGUUCUGGGAGGAAGGUCCACCACUUUGGAAGUGCGACCCAGUCCAAACUCCUACGGGGGGCAACAGUGAGUAGUAUUGGACAAUUGGCGGAAGCCUGAACCAGCCAAGGAGCGUGCAGGAUGACGGCCUUAUGGGUUGUAAACUGCUUUUAUACAGGAAUAAAGUUAGCCACGUGUGGUUAUUUGUAGGUACUGUAUGAAUAAGGACCGGCUAAUUCCGUGCCAGCAGCCGCCGUAA
rnacentral:rRNA from 1 species